CUUAGAGCUAGAGCAAGUAAGAGCAUGCACUUGCACAGUACACACACAAAAAAGAGAAAGACGCGAAGGGAAUGAAACGAGGAGAGCGUCUCGGCAAACUCGGCCAAACGCGAAUGAAGGGAGAAAAAGAGGGAAAAAAGGUUCUCGACGACAUCAUCAGUCUGAGCCGUCGCUUUUUUUCUUGUUCCGUCUGAAGUUUGUAAAAGAUUUUCAUGUCAUUAAGGAGCAAUUAAAAUGUCUGCCUGGCUUAGUCACGUAGCUUCCGCUGGAGUUAUUCAGAGCUCCAAACCUCCGGCGCUUGUUUUUUCUGGAACUGGUGUGUCACUCUGGCUGCAGAAUGAUAGUAACCUGUGCUUCCAGCAGCACACAGUGUGUGUAUGUGUGUGGAAGUAUUGCAACCAGACAGCCACAGCGAUGGCCCUGUCACUCAUCCAGCCAUCCGGUCCUCCCCGCGGGUGCCGAGACUUGUGGCCACGUUUCCACAUUGAAAGCGUAAGAGUCUGGUGUGGACAGUGUCACAACCAGUGCUGGGAGGAAAAAAAAAUGACCGAUCCUAUCCACACAGAACAGCGAUCCUGCCAGGCAUGCGCUUGGCGAAGAAAACUACAAGUCGAUUAAAAAUAACUCAAUAGUCCACACCGUUAGCCUGACCCUGGGGUGAGAAGGAAAGUGAGAGAGUGAGCUGGACCGAGGUCAACCUUGCCAACACAUUCCUUUUUCAUACCCGUUGAUUGGAACACAUUCUCAAUACCUUCUUCAGGAGCAUGCUGAAGCACUUCUUCCAGUCCCCAUAGCAACCUUGGUGGUGCGAUGUGGAGCUUUCAGUGCUGCCGAGUGGACAAGCUGACCUCUCGUUAAUUGCGGAUAUGUUCGGAACACACUGCUCAAUGCUAUCUAUGGAUUUGGACAGGGCCGCGCACGGUUAUCGGAAAUCCAGUAGGCUACCUACUUUCAUAUGUUUACCAAAGAAGACACCAAAAUUGUUUUUUUUUUUUUUUUGCUAUUAGCUAAAAGACACGGGUCACUCUGAAAUCCAAUACAAACUCAAAUCACCCAGAAGCUAUUAGCCCAUAACGUGCAGGAGCUAAAGAGAAAACACAUUGAAAUACAUGCUAGACCGGUGUUCCUCUCAGCUACAGAACAUAUUCUAUGGAAGGAUGUGUUCUAGUCUUACUUCCUGAUUUUGUAAUAAAAAAAAAAUACCAACGUCUCCCUGCAGUCUACAGCACAAUGCGGUACACAUUGCAGACACACUCAUCACUAUUUCCUCAUAUCUCUUUCGGUUUCACUUUGUGUGUUCGGUGGUGAUGUUCUUUCUUCUUGGCAUGAUGUAGACACAACUGUAGAGCACCAGGUUUUUUUUUAGAGGUAGUCAUACUUCGUGAUGAUUAACUAUUCUUGUACAUUUCAUUACUAACACCUGGAUGACCAUGCAGAUCUCAGUGUUGAAGCCUGAAAAACGGCCAAACUCUCCAGUUUUGGUAAGAUUCCUGUUCUUGGCUGAAUGGAGUGGAAUCUGAUGUGUUCUUCCGCUGUUGUGUCUCAACCACCUCAAGAUAUUCAUCAAGAAAUCAAGAAAUGUUUAACUCUCGCACACGUUUGCGCCCAGACAGAAGGCAUGGACGUUCGCCUCAGGGAUGGGAAGAAUGAAAACAUUCGGGCUGCCUUUCCCAAUCAUGACCUGUUAGACAACUCCUGCUCCUUAGCAUCGGAACAUGGGUCUUGCUGGCUGCGCCGCAUCUGUGUGGCAGAGUGAAAAAGAAGCUGCUUCCGUUUUCCACGCGUCAGCAAUGUGGACUCUCCAUUUCUGGGUCUGUGAUAUCACGGAGCACAGGAAGUGACAUCACUUCCCUGUUCGCAGAGCUUGAUAAUUGCACCCAGACAACAGAUGACAGCUGAGCUGCGCUGUGCUGGAAAAUGGAUAUGACUGUGGUUAGAGGUUAGCCUCAUAACAGGGUUGUUUUAUUGGUCUCGACUCCUCUGGUUCUUACAGUACACACUAACACACACACACACACACACACACACACACACACACACAAGCAUAAACACA